rnacentral:rRNA from 1 species
UACGUAGGGGGCAAGCGUUGUCCGGAAUCAUUGGGCGUAAAGAGCGUGUAGGCGGCCCGAUAAGUCCGCCGUGAAAGUCCAGGGCUCAACCCUGGAAUGCCGGUGGAAACUGUCGGGCUGGAGUCCGGAAGAGGCGAGUGGAAUUCCUGGUGUAGCGGUGAAAUGCGCAGAUAUCAGGAAGAACACCCGUGGCGAAAGCGGCUCUCUGGAACGGUACUGACGCUGAGACGCGAAAGCGUGGGGAGCGAACAGG